AAAGAUUAAGCCAUGCAUGUCUAAGUAUAAGCAACUAUACUGUGAAACUGCGAAUGGCUCAUUAAAUCAGUUAUCGUUUAUUUGAUAGUACCUUACUACAUGGAUAACCGUGGUAAUUCUAGAGCUAAUACAUGCUAAAAACCUCGACUUCGGAAGGGGUGUAUUUAUUAGAUAAAAAACCAAUGCCCUUCGGGGCUCCUUGGUGAUUCAUAAUAACUUAACGAAUCGCAUGG
rnacentral:rRNA from 1 species